AGUGAACGCUGGCGGUAGGCCUAACACAUGCAAGUCGAACGGCAGCACAGUAAGAGCUUGCUCUUACGGGUGGCGAGUGGCGGACGGGUGAGGAAUACAUCGGAAUCUACUUUUUCGUGGGGGAUAACGUAGGGAAACUUACGCUAAUACCGCAUACGACCUACGGGUGAAAGCAGGGGAUCUUCGGACCUUGCGCGAUUGAAUGAGCCGAUGUCGGAUUAGCUAGUUGGCGGGGUAAAGGCCCACCAAGGCGACGAUCCGUAGCUGGUCUGAGAGGAUGAUCAGCCACACUGGAACUGAGACACGGUCCAGACUCCUACGGGAGGCAGCAGUGGGGAAUAUUGGACAAUGGGCGCAAGCCUGAUCCAGCCAUACCGCGUGGGUGAAGAAGGCCUUCGGGUUGUAAAGCCGUUUUGUUGGGAAAGAAAAGCAGCAGGUUAAUACCCCGCUGUUCUGACGGUACCCAAAGAAUAAGCACCGGCUAACUUCGU
rnacentral:rRNA from 1 species